UUUAGGAUGAAGCUCUUCUGAAGCUAGUGGAUGCCUUGGUGUGCCUGCUGCGCGAGCUGCUGGACUCGGACGCUGGCGACGAGGUCAUGAGGGCCUUGUCCUGCACAGUUCUCACUUUGGUGGAGAGUGCAGCGUCCAGCGGAGGCAUAGGGAUUCGACUCGCACUGGGUUCGAUCACAUCAGUCAUCCAGACCACCGUCACGUGUUCAUGAACCAAACACACGGAAAGCAUCACAUGUGUAGCCCACAGCUUCGAUAUCUAUUAUGUAGCCAGCAUUGCCAAUAUCAAUGGUAUAGUAUAGAAUAGUCUGAUGACCGCUCUGACUACCUCAGCGUUGUGUUCUACUGCGGCAUUCAUGGUGGCGCUGCCACAUUGUAGAUUUGGUUUAUGAAGAAAGCGUUUGGUAUUAACGACCAUACAUUCGUGGAUGCCUUUUCAAGAGGAGUCAAGUACCAGGUGUAUAAGAUUCCGCAAUAAAGCUACUGUAUCCCAGCAACCUCUUUGCUGACAUUGUACUCAUCGUAUUGCAAUGUGGUCAGUGGUAUCGAGCUCUUUCGGAUUAUGUCCCACCUGAAGAACACGUGUGCAGAUUUUCUAUUCGUUUUUUUUCCUUUGCAUACAGCCCUUACGACCUACGUCGAGCUAUGUGUUGAGCUGCAAAGAGGCAUCCGGCAUGAUCGCUUUCAGCAGUGAUGCCCUACCAUUGCCUCAGAAAUCAG